rnacentral:rRNA from 1 species
AUUGAACGCUGGCGGCAGGCCUAACACAUGCAAGUCGAGCGGCAGCGGGAAAGUAGCUUGCUACUUUUGCCGGCGAGCGGCGGACGGGUGAGUAAUGCCUGGGGAUCUGCCCAGUCGAGGGGGAUAACUUCUGGAAACGGUAGCUAAUACCGCAUACGCCCUACGGGGGAAAGCAGGGGACCUUCGGGCCUUGCGCGAUUGGAUGAACCCAGGUGGGAUUAGCUAGUUGGUGAGGUAAUGGCUCACCAAGGCGACGAUCCCUAGCUGGUCUGGGAUGGUGAUCAGCCACACUGGAACUGAGACACGGUCCAGACUCCUACGGGAGGCAGCAGUGGGGAAUAUUGCACAAUGGGGGAAACCCUGAUGCAGCCAUGCCGCGUGUGUGAAGAAGGCCUUCGGGUUGUAAAGCACUUUCAGCGAGGAGGAAAGGUUGGUAGCUAAUAACUGCCAGCUGUGACGUUACUCGCAGAAGAAGCACCGGCUAACUCCGUGCCAGCAGCCGCCGUAAAAC